AAGUUAGCCGAUCCUUAUUCUUACGGUACCAUCAGCCCACUACACGUAGUGGGGUUUUUUCCCGUAUAAAAGCAGUUUACAACCCAUAGGGCAUUCAUCCUGCACGCGGCAUGGCUGGAUCAGUGUUGCCACCAUUGUCCAAUAUUCCUUACUGCUGCCUCCCGUAGGAGUCUGGUCCGUGUCUCAGUACGGGGCGGGGGCGGCGGGCCGGGCGCGGGGCGCGGCGGGCG
rnacentral:rRNA from 1 species